GGAGCAAACACCUUACUGAGCCUCAAUUCUCUAAUCUGUAACAACAGGGUCACACCGUCUGGAAGCGACCUGCCACUUAUCCGCAGAUUAUGGAUGCAGAGUGAGAGACUGAAGUUGGUUCAGCCUCCAUCUCUCAACGUCUCCCUUUCCCUCUGUUGCUCCUUUUGUCUACCUGAGCUAAUGACUACAUACAUGUCUUGCGGGGCCACAACAAAGGCAUCCGUGUUAGAGAAGCAGCCCAAAUGUUCUGCCUGCUUGAGCCCUCAAGACAGAAUCUGACUAUGUUUAAGGUAGUUGUGAAAGGGAAAGUGGAAAAAAUCAUAUGGGGGGGGAGUUGCUUCAUCUUUUUUAGAAAAAUUUUAUCAUAAGAACAUUUUUCCUGUGAUUAAAUCACCCACAUCACCAAUACCUUCAAUAAGACACAUUUUUAAUUGAUUGAGCUAUUUACUUGAUUUCCAGGGGAUUAAAAAAUAACAAGCCAAGUCUUCUUAUUUUUUAAGAAUCAUACAUUCUUUUGUGUGGUGUGAAGAAAUGCCUGCACAUCCUGCCCACUCCACUUUUUGCUCAAGCUUAAUAUUCCAGAAUGAAGGAGAAAAUGAGCUGCCUCUCUCUCCCCAAAACACACAUCUGCCUUGGGUUUAGAGCAGUUGAUAGGAUCUUGCAGAGGCAGGACUGAGGUCAGCACAUCCCUGAGAAGUUCCUUUACCCAGUCCUCAUCAGCCAUUCCAAAACUCCAAAGCUC